UUGGUUAGAAAUCACCACAGGUUGUCACCGCAACGGUAACGACACCACGCCCGCGACGCCGGCAGCGGGCACCAACGGCAGAAGCAUUCUGCCCGACCUCGACAUGAGGUCUCAGGGACAUAACAGUCAAC
rfam:Pseudomonas caspiana strain FBF102 scaffold00003, whole genome shotgun sequence.